GACGACGCUGGCGGCGUGGAUUAGGCAUGCAAGUCGAACGGUAUCAUCCUUUCGGGGGUGAGAGAGUGGCGAACUGGUGAGUAACACGUAGGUUAUCUACCCUCAAGACGGGACAACCCAGGGAAACUUGGGCUAAUACCGGAUGUGAGCAACUUUUAGUUGUUUGAAAGGUGGCGUAAGCUGUCGCUUGGGGAUGAGCCUGCGUCCUAUUAGUUAGUUGGUGAGGUAACGGCUCACCUAGGCAAUGAUAGGUAGGCGGCCUUAACGGGUGGUCGCCCACACUGGGAUUGAGAUACGGCCCAGACUCCUACGGGAGGCAGCAGUCGAGAAUAGUCUACAAUGGUCGGAAGACUGAUAGUGCGACGCCGCGUGAACGAUGAAUCCCUUCGGGGUGUAAAGUUCUUUUAUAUGUGAGCAGUGCUUCUUAUAUUAACAGUAUGGGGAGAGAGAUAUUAGCAUAUGAAUAAGCAACGGCUAACUCCGUG
rnacentral:rRNA from 1 species